rfam:Candidatus Taylorbacteria bacterium RIFCSPHIGHO2_02_FTLL_43_32b rifcsphigho2_02_scaffold_39383, whole genome shotgun sequence.
CCGCCCGUAGCUCAGCUGGUAGAGCAGCUCCCUUUUAAGGAGAAGGUCUUCGGUUCGAUCCCGAACGGGCGGA